CAGCUGCAGUACACUGUGCAGUACUAAUUACUAAUGAGUCUGAGCUGUCAUCAUUUAGAGACUUUGUAUUUUUUUUUUUGCUAGUUUUGUUCUGCAUUUGUCAUUUUUCAUCAUCGUGAAUAAUGGUGUUUGUGAGACAGCACAAAUUCCAGUCUGUCAGGACCUGAAGUCCACUUUCCUUGCAGGAAAAGCAGCGGCUAGUCUUAGUGCAGAUGAAGAGAGGGACUCACUGUAGACAGGAGGGUUAUGUUAUUUGUGUUCAGGAUGGGAUGUCGAAGCCAGAACUGUGUGAGGCUGAUAGCUGGUGAGUUUCCUCCGGUAAACACAGCUGCCUCAUCAGCUCCGCUUCAGAAGCAGCACUGCACCAACCGGAGAUCAGAGAUUCAACUCCACGAAGACAUGAACUGUUGUGGUCCAGGGAGGCUUUGGGUGCAGACAUGAAGAAGAGAGAGUGGAGGACCUGAAGCUGUGGAGGCCAGCCAUCAUCAACCAGUUAGCAAAUUCAAGACUCCAUCAGCCCUGAGGGAGGACUACUCCCUCUCUGUCCUCCCCUGGUCUGGGGUCCCUCUCCAGAUCCUGCCAACAGAUCACCAAACACCAGUAAGUCAGCCUGAAACCUGCACAGCCUUGACGGUUUAACACAGAACUUCAGUGUUGAAAUGCAGCACGAAUGUUGUGGUUCUCAGUUUGCAGUUUGACAUGAUUACAAGUCAGAUUAAUUCUAUAAUUCAUACUCAUAUUUACCAAGAGGCUACAUUUUCAGUUUCAGACAGGCUUUGUUUAUUUAUUUAUAUUUGAAACCUGAGAAAAAAAAAAUUUAGAUCAUGAAUGAUUGAGUGAUCGGGUAUUUUUGAACAUUUUCACCAUUUACUCAUGGUUAUUAAAUAAAAAAAUCUGUCUCAUGAUUGUCUAUCUGUGAGUGUAUCUGAUGUAGAGCCAGACACAGAUUGAAACAUUUUGAAAUAGCUAAUUAAACAUUGUGCAGUUUUGGCAGAUCUACUCUGUGCUUUCUAGUUGUUUUGAAAGGGUAAAUUAGUUUGACCAUAUAUGUCUGAGAUACAUCACUUACAAACUUACGUUCAGCAUUUUUGUGUGCAUGUCUUACCUGAUUCUAGUUAAAUAUAUAUAUAUAUUUUAUACCAGUCUUUCAAUCUGUCAAUCUAUAGGUCAGUGGUUGUCUACUGUUACUCUAUGUGUUAAAAACACUUAUUGAUCAGUUUGAUGGUGAUAGUUACUUUUAAGUUAGUGUUCUGAAUUUUGGUGGUGGGAUUAAAUCUUGGUUUACAUUUGUAUUAUAUAAUAUGCUUUAUUGUACUCAAUGCAGUUGGAGAAUAUUAGAACGCACUAAUAGUUUUAUUUAUAUAGGUUUAUUAGUAUUGGCUGCUGAUGUCUGCAUGCCAACUGAUAGUAUCUGAUAAUUAUGAAGCUGCUCUUAACAGCAUAAAACGUUUUAAUACAUCCAAACAAUUGGUUGUCAUUGUUAUAAUUUUCAUUAAUUGUCACCUAAAUGAGGCCAUUGAAACCCUCUGUAAUGUCCUCUGUUGUCCUAUUAAAAGUCUAAAUUAGAAACAUAUCUCUCUCUUUAUCUGCCUCUCCC